CCGCGGUAAUACAGAGGGUGCAAGCGUUAAUCGGAAUUACUGGGCGUAAAGCGCGCGUAGGCGGUAUGUUAAGUCGGAUGUGAAAUCCCUGGGCUCAACCUAGGCAUUGCAUCCGAUACUGGCACACUAGAGUGUGGGAGAGGAAGGUAGAAUUCCAGGUGUAGCGGUGAAAUGCGUAGAGAUCUGGAGGAAUACCGAUGGCGAAGGCAGCCUUCUGGCCUAACACUGACGCUGAGGUGCGAAAGCAUGG
rnacentral:rRNA from 1 species